AGCGAACGCUGGCGGCAGGCCUAACACAUGCAAGUCGAACGAACCCUUCGGGGUUAGUGGCGGACGGGUGAGUAACACGUGGGAACGUGCCUUUAGGUUCGGAAUAACUCAGGGAAACUUGUGCUAAUACCGAAUGUGCCCUUCGGGGGAAAGAUUUAUCGCCUUUAGAGCGGCCCGCGUCUGAUUAGCUAGUUGGUGAGGUAAUGGCUCACCAAGGCUACGAUCAGUAGCUGGGCUGAGAGGAUGACCAGCCAAAUUGGGACUGAGACACGGCCCAAACUCCUACGGGAGGCAGCAGUGGGGAAUCUUGCGCAAUGGGCGAAAGCCUGACGCAGCCAUGCCGCGUGGAUGAUGAAGGUCUUAGGAUUGUAAAAUCCUUUCACCGGUGAAGAUAAUGACUGUAGCCGGAGAAGAAGCCCCGGCUAACUUCGUGCAGCAGCCGCCGUAACAC
rnacentral:rRNA from 1 species